AUAACGGUCCUAAGGUAGCGAAAUUCCUUGUCAGGUAAGUUCUGACCCGCACGAAAGGUGUAACGAUUUGGGCGCUGUCUCGGCAGCAGACUCGGUGAAAUCUUAGUACCUGUGAAAAUGCAGGUUACCCGCAACUAGACGGAAAGACCCCAUGGAGCUUUACUGCAGCCUGAUAUUGAAUUCUGGUCAUACAUGUACAGGAUAGGUGGGAGACAAAGAGACGUGCACGCCAGUGUACGAGGAGUCGACGUUGGGAUACCACUCUUGUGUGACCGGGGUUCUAACCUGGUAUCGAGAACAGGUACGGGGAGAGUGUCAGGUGGGCAGUUUGACUGGGGCGGUCGCCUCCCAAAGAGUAACGGAGGCGCCCAAAGGUACGCUCAGAUUGGAUGGAAACCAAUCGUCGAGUGCAAUUGCAGAAGCGUGCUUGACUGUGAGACUUACAAGUCGAACAGGGACGAAAGUCGGGAAUAGUGAUCCGGCGGUGCCGAAUGGAAGGGCCGUCGCUCAACGGAUAAAAGCUACCCUGGGGAUAACAGGCUGAUCUCCCCCAAGAGUCCACAUCGACGGGGAGGUUUGGCACCUCGAUGUCGGCUCAUCGCAUCCUGGGGCUGUAGUAGGUCCCAAGGGUUGGGCUGUUCGCCCAUUAAAGCGGUACGCGAGCUGGGUUCAGAACGUCGUGAGACAGUUCGGUCCCUAUCUGUUGUGGGCGAAGGAGAUCUGCGGAGAGCUGUCCUCAGUACGAGAGGACCGGGAUGGACCUACCGCUGGUGCACCGGUUGUUCCGCCAGGGGCAUAGCCGGGUAGCUAAGUAGGGAAAGGAUAAGCGCUGAAAGCAUCUAAGCACGAAGCCUACUCCAAGAUGAGAUCUCCCAUUCGCAAGAAGUAAGACCCCUUAAAGACGAUAAGGUAGAUAGGCCAGAGAUGGAAGUGCAGUGAUGUACGGAGUUGACUGGUACUAAUCGGUCGAGGACUUAAUCAG
rnacentral:rRNA from 1 species